AGAGUUUGAUCCUGGCUCAGGAUGAACGCUGGCGGCGUGCUUAACACAUGCAAGUCGAGCGAAGCACUUAGGUCUGAUCCUUCGGGAGAAGAUUUAUUUGACUGAGCGGCGGACGGGUGAGUAACGCGUGGGCAACCUGCCUUACACAGGGGGAUAACAGUUAGAAAUGACUGCUAAUACCGCAUAAGACCACAGCAUUGCAUGGUGCAGUGGUAAAAACCGAGGUGGUGUAAGAUGGGCCCGCGUCUGAUUAGGCAGUUGGCGGGGUAACGGCCCACCAAACCGACGAUCAGUAGCCGACCUGAGAGGGUGACCGGCCACAUUGGGACUGAGACACGGCCCAAACUCCUACGGGAGGCAGCAGUGGGGAAUAUUGCACAAUGGGGGAAACCCUGAUGCAGCGACGCCGCGUGAAGGAAGAAGUAUUUCGGUAUGUAAACUUCUAUCAGCAGGGAAGAAAAUGACGGUACCUGACUAAGAAGCCCCGGCUAACUACGUGCCAGCAGCCGCGGUAAUACGUAGGGGGCAAGCGUUAUCCGGAUUUACUGGGUGUAAAGGGAGCGUGGACGGCACAGCAAGCCAGAUGUGAAAACCCGGGGCUCAACCGCGGGACUGCAUUUGGAACUGUUGAGCUGGAGUAUCGGAGAGGCAAGUGGAAUUCCUAGUGUAGCGGUGAAAUGCGUAGAUAUUAGGAGGAACACCAGUGGCGAAGGCGGCUUGCUGGACGAUAACUGACGUUGAGGCUCGAAAGCGUGGGGAGCAAACAGGAUUAGAUACCCUGGUAGUCCACGCCGUAAACG
rnacentral:rRNA from 1 species